rnacentral:rRNA from 1 species
UACAGAGGUCCCGAGCGUUGUUCGGAUUCAUUGGGCGUAAAGGGCUCGUAGGUGGCCAACUAAGUCAGACGUGAAAUCCCUCAGCUUAACUGGGGAACUGCGUCUGAUACUGGAUGGCUUGAGUUUGGGAGAGGGAUGCGGAAUUCCAGGUGUAGCGGUGAAAUGCGUAGAUAUCUGGAGGAACACCGGUGGCGAAGGCGGCAUCCUGGACCAACACUGACACUGAGGAGCGAAAGCCAGGGGAGCAAACGGG